rnacentral:snRNA from 15 species
ACUUAAAUAACAAAAAACCCAAAGCCUAACUCAGGACUUGGUAACAAUUUUUGGAGACCCUAACUUUUAUUAGUUAGGGUG